rnacentral:rRNA from 1 species
AUUGAACGCUGGCGGCAGGCCUAACACAUGCAAGUCGAGCGGAUGAAGGGAGCUUGCUCCUGGAUUCAGCGGCCGACGGGUGAGUAAUGCCUAGGAAUCUGCCUGGUAGUGGGGGAUAACGUCCGGAAACGGGCGCUAAUACCGCAUACGUCCUGAGGGAGAAAGUGGGGGAUCUUCGGACCUCACGCUAUCAGAUGAGCCUAGGUCGGAUUAGCUAGUUGGUGGGGUAAAGGCCUACCAAGGCGACGAUCCGUAACUGGUCUGAGAGGAUGAUCAGUCACACUGGAACUGAGACACGGUCCAGACUCCUACGGGAGGCAGCAGUGGGGAAUAUUGGACAAUGGGCGAAAGCCUGAUCCAGCCAUGCCGCGUGUGUGAAGAAGGUCUUCGGAUUGUAAAGCACUUUAAGUUGGGAGGAAGGGCAGUAAGUUAAUACCUUGCUGUUUUGACGUUACCAACAGAAUAAGCACCGGCUAACUUCGUG